AGAGUUUGAUCCUGGCUCAGGAUGAACGCUAGCGGGAGGCCUAACACAUGCAAGUCGAGCGGGAUUCACUUUCGGGUGAUGAGAGCGGCGCAUGGGUGCGUAACGCGUAUGCAACCUACCUCUAACAGGGGGAUAGCCCGUUGAAAGACGGAUUAAUACCCCAUAGUAUUAUUGAAUCGCAUGGUUUAAUAAUUAAAGCUCCGGCGGUUAGAGAUGGGCAUGCGUGACAUUAGUUAGUUGGCGAGGUAACGGCUCACCAAGACUACGAUGUCUAGGGGUUCUGAGAGGAUGAUCCCCCACACUGGUACUGAGACACGGACCAGACUCCUACGGGAGGCAGCAGUGAGGAAUAUUGGUCAAUGGGCGCAAGCCUGAACCAGCCAUCCCGCGUGAAGGAAGACUGUCCUAUGGAUUGUAAACUUCUUUUGUGCACCAAGAAUGUGUCCUACGUGUAGGGCUUUGACGGUAGUGCAUGAAUAAGCAUCGGCUAACUCCGUGCCAGCAGCCGCGGUAAUACGGAGGAUGCAAGCGUUAUCCGGAUUCAUUGGGUUUAAAGGGUACGUAGGCGGCUUUUUAAGUCAGUGGUGAAAGUUUGCGGCUGUAACCGUAAAAUUGCCAUUGAUACUGAAGAGCUUGAGUACAGUUGAGGUAGGCGGAAUGUGUAGUGUAGCGGUGAAAUGCUUAGAUAUUACACAGAACUCCGAUUACGAAGGCAGCUUACUAAACUGAGACUGACGCUGAGGUACGAAAGCGUGGGGAGCGAACAGGAUUAGAUACCCUGGUAGUCCACGCCGUAAACGAUGUUCACUCGCUGUUUGCGAUAUAUUGCAAGCGGCCAAGCGAAAGCAUUAAGUGAACCACCUGGGGAGUACGCCGGCAACGGUGAAACUCAAAGGAAUUGACGGGGGCCCGCACAAGCGGAGGAACAUGUGGUUUAAUUCGAUGAUACGCGAGGAACCUUACCUGGGCUUAAAUGGGGAGUGACAGACUUGGAAACAGGUUUUUCUUCGGACACUCUUCAAGG
rnacentral:rRNA from 1 species